GUGAAUCAUCGAAUCUUUGAACGCAAAUUGCGCUUCCUGGUAUUCCGGGAAGUAUGCCUGUUUGAGGGUCAGUAUUAACAAAGAAGUGGUUUGGUUGUAAAUUGUGACGUUUCCGGAGUUUGGGCUAUGUUAAUUUUUUUGGUUAAGGGGCUUAAAAUUGACCUUAUUUGCGCACUCUUAGAUGUACAUCAAUUUUUUUAUUCGUUUAUUCUUAAUGCUAUAAUUUUAUUAGAUGCGAUAACUUUGUGUGGUUUCGUGUUCAAA
rnacentral:misc_RNA from 1 species